CUAUUUUGGUCUUCUACUCUCAAUCUAUUUUCGUCAGCCUUGCUUCCUUUGGUUUGUCUUUCAGUCUCCACAAUGACUACACGAAGAACACUUGAAAAAACCGUGUCGCAUGUGCUUGAACUUGUUGAUAAAGUCAGCAAGAAACCUGUGGAUCCCGACAAGAAACCUGUGAACCCUAUCUAUGACGAAAUAAAAAAGUGGUUCGAAGAAAACAAAGACUUGUUUCCUAAACUGAAGCACUUUGAGGACGAGCUGAAGAGCAAGAUUGCCGAACUUGAACAAGCUAUCGACAAUGCUGUAUAUGAUGAUGGCA
rnacentral:lncRNA from 1 species